UUAAUCUGAGGGUCCAGGGUUCAAG
rnacentral:piRNA from 6 species